UUUUAGCCCCGAUUGUAGUGGAAAUCCUUUUGUUUUUGAGGUUACGAAAUAACAAAAGAUUGCAACGUAAAGCGGGAAUAUGG
rnacentral:sRNA from 1 species